GGGCCCGUAGCUCAGUACGGACAGAGCACUGGCCUUCUAAGCCAGGGGUCGCGAGUUCAAAUCUUGCCGGGCCCGCCA
rnacentral:tRNA from 1 species